CCUACGGGAGGCAGCAGUGGGGAAUAUUGGACAAUGGGGGGAACCCUGAUCCAGCGACGCCGCGUGAGUGAAGAAGUAUUUCGGUAUGUAAAGCUCUAUCAGCAGGGAAGAAAGAAAUGACGGUACCUGACUAAGAAGCCCCGGCUAACUACGUGCCAGCAGCCGCGGAAACACGUAGGGGGCAAGCGUGAUCCGGAUUUACUGGGUGUAAAGGGAGCGUAGACGGUUACGCAAGUCUGGAGUGAAAGGCGGGGGCCCAACCCCCGGACUGCUUUGGAAACUGUAUAACUGGAGUGCAGGGGAGGUAAGUGGAAUUCUUGGUGUAGCGGUGAAAUGCGAAGAUAUUAGGAGGAACACCAGUGGCGAAGGCGGCUUACUGGACUGUAACUGACGUUGAGGCUCGAAAGCGUGGGGAGCAAACAGGAUUAGAUACCCCUGUAGUC
rnacentral:rRNA from 1 species